UACGGAAGGUGGUCGACCGGUCCGCGGCUCCGUAGCCAUACCGGAGAAGACAGUGACACACAGUCCAGCUGUUUGUGUGUUUUUAUCAGCUCACUGUUCUGCAUCAGUGCAUGAGUUUCAUAUCGUCGACUCGACCUUCCUUAGUUCCGCAGCAUUUAAUUGUCUGCUCAGACCAGUGACCGGUGUCAACCUUCAGUCACUCAGUCAGCCGCACCGUGCAGGUUUACUACAGUAGUGUCGCGGCUUUGCGGCUAUCCGUCAUCUGGUCAUCUGGUCAUUCCCAGAGAAAAUCGAUGUAGCUGUUUUCAGGCUAGAAGUAGAAUUGCAGAACAUGCAGCUACGAACGCUGCAUGCUCAGUCCUGCUUGAGAUGUACGUUAGCUGCAUGGAGAGGCAAGUGAGACACAUUCUCGGCUGCUGCUGCUGACUGUGUGGACUGUUUGACGGUGUCCGACCGUAGAUCUACGUCGUUGACGACAAAGCUGACGGAGCGGGUCAAGUUGGACGACGCUGCCGCUGGUGUUCCUUUUGCUGUCUGUGCUCGUCACGAGGACCCGGGAAUUAUUCCCGAACAGCGACCGUCAAUGUAGAAACACAUUCACAGCUGUACGAACUCAGGAUGGACUAGCGAUGAGUUCGGUAGCAUGCCAAUAGUAAGCAGAGUGUCCAAUCGUCCUGCUUUGAUCAUAAUCAUGCUGCAGUGGAAUGUCAUGGACGUGGUACAUGGAUUCGGAGGUGUGAUCCAGUAUGUCAGCUUUCCCGCUGCAUCGUGCCAGGGAGAACGGAGCAGCAGUGGCAGGUCAUGGCUGUGGAGGAGCGAUACAGUGCGUCAGCUUUCCCAUCGUGUCAAGGAGACGGGGAGGGGAGUUGGAGGCAAUGGAUUGCCAUCGAUGAGAGCGGCGUACAGGAGCAGGUCAUCCCAGCAUAGCUAUGUGGAAUCAAACGAGCUCUCUCUUUCUCUCUCUCUCUCUCAUUCUCUCCAUGCUGGUGGACACCACUAGACUGAGCGACCGGAGGCGCAGCCGUGAUCUGCUAACUUAUUCAUGAGGCUGGAUAUCAUCGGGUGCAACAUGUUAACAGUACCGUUCAGCCUAACUUGACGACGUUUCCAUGCCAACACGAAACCUUUUUCUCAACUCGUAUAUUUUACUUCCUCUCAUCUCCAGUAGUAUGAUGUACAUCAUGUGAUCAGUCAUUGUGUGAACAGUAAUCAUGGUAAUAUCUAGUCUUUGAUCACCAUGCAUGUGAGGAGGUAUAGUGCAUGGUGAUCAUUGCCGGUUCCUGCUCUCUCU